AUCGCCAGCGGAAGUGAGAAACAGAGGCACGGAACUAAAAACAUUACUCGUCUUAAAAGAAGAAAAAACGUCGUGUUUUGUAUGAUUUAGCACCUGGCUCAUGAAGGCACAAGGCCAUUAUUCAGUGUGGGAAUGCUGCACACCGAGCCAGUUGCUUCUGUCCAGCGUGUGUGGUUACUGCCGAGCCAGAUGUCCGGACCACAGCGGCCUCGUGUUAAGCCCGCGAGGGGUUCACAGGUCCCGUUCAACAGCUGCUGAAGACGAGCGCCCACUGUGACGUCGCCCAUUGGUCUGCGGACUACCGUUUUCAAAGUCUCCAGUUUGGCAUCGCAGCUGUCGCCAUCUUGUUUCUAUCGGAGCCAGGAGCGACCACAUUUGGUCCAGAUGGCGACGCUGUGGAGGAUAUCCUCGCGGUGGUACCGACUUGUCAAUCACAAGCAGCGAGAGAGAGAGAAGAAGAAGCCAAGAGCCGCUGAACCUCCUGAGCUACAGUCACGCUGUCUCUGGGUGGAAGUCGCCUUCUUGACGAGCCGAAAGCCAUUUUUCAAAGUUCGUAGGGCAUGAAGAAGCCAUCUUUUAAAGCCGACAGCGCUUUGAUCCUGCGGUUUGACGUGAUUUGUUGCUGAUUAAUGUGGAAUUUGGUCCUCUCGUUCAUGUGGAUACGUCCCCUCCCCUCAACACACACUCACACAUCCACUCAUCCUCUAACUCUGCUUCCUCGCAGCCACACAGCAGCGCUGACGAGAGAGAGACGCCAAAAAAUGCAUCGCAGCGCUGCAGGGAACACUGCCUGUUUUCCUCUGGUUGGAGAAUAGGGAAAGAAAAAUGUCACCCCACGGGCCAAAUGUAAGAGAAUAAAAAACACGGGGAAAGAAUUUGUUAAAAAAUGGAUUAGAAGCCAUCCGAAACUACUGGAAAGUGUUUUCGCUGAGAAUUCACUGCACAGUGUUUAAUACAAGCCCAGCCACAGUCAACAGAGGUUGUUCCAGGUGAAAUAAUUUGAUUUGCUUUUUUUAGACAUAAAACACAUGUUUACAGCGCCAAGAGAAAAUAAUAAAUGUCAACACUUAAUGUCAAGCUGUAUGCGUCAUUGACCGCAGCAGUCUGUUUGAACUCCGUGCCCUCUCUGUCUCCAUAGUGUGGAAGUGGAAACUCAUUUUUGACACUGCAUUCCUGAUUUUGACCCGAAAGUGGCAUCCAUCAUUGUUCAAACGGUGUUUCCUGCUCAGGGUUAUGGCGAAGGGAUAAAAACAAGCAGCUUCGACCAGGUACUCCCUGGAACACAAAUAGAACAGGCCGGAUCCGUACGAACACAGAGAGGGGUCGGAGGAUCUCAAAGAAAACGUGUUUUUACCUUGUUUGUUAGAGAACUUCAGAAAUUAUAAAUAUCCUGCGGCUAACUUUCAAUUAACAAAUAAAUGUUUGAGGGACCUUCAAAUUUCCAGCGUCAGCAACCAGAAAAGCAUCAUUACGCUUCUCAGUGUCUCUAAACACGACAAAAUAGCGACUUUAACUACAACACUGCAUUCCAUCACAGUCUGACUUUCACUUCAGCUACAUUUUGGUUAAGUGUGUUUUGCCGCUUUCACUGUUGUUGUUGUUGUUUCUGCUCUGUUUUGAUCCAGUGUCUGUAGUGAUGUGCUGGACAUGUCAAGGCUGUUUGGACUGUUUCCCACACCAGCUGUGAUAUGAAUGAAUCAAUGACUGAUUUUGUUUUCAUGCACAACCCUGAAGUAAAGCUGUAGCAGUCAAACAUUUCAUUUCAUGACAAAAUGACAGGUUCAUUUGCAGUUCGGACCUCGAAGAAAUGUUGUUCUGCCUUCUCUCUCAAGCUUCACAAACAGACAAAAGGUUUUAAGAAUCAUCCUGUCAAAGGAAAUCAGCAUCAAUUGAGGACGUUAUAGUAAAAAAGUACAUCCUUGAGACAGCACAGCAAAACAGAAAUUAAUCUUAUUCUCAAUUUCACCUAGCUCACACAACAAGGCCUGUCCUCCUGUGGCAUUAAACCUGAUGUCCCAGUUCAGUAUCUUUCUUUAGUGAGUCUUUAUUCUUCAAGUCUAUUCCAAGAUAAGAUAUAAUCACUUUCUCUCUCUGCUGCUCCGACUAACUGGUCUCUACUGCGGCUUCCUGGUACUAAAAUAAAAGCUGUGUUUGUGUUGCUGGCUGCCGCUUGCAUCAUCCAUCCUGUUCUCUGUACGUCAGCUCGCGCCUUUCAGUGUGGAGGAAAAGAAAAGGGAUGUUUUUUCCUCAACUGCUGAGCCACCAAAAGACCAGCCACCCUCCUGAGAAACCUUGUCUCAGCCACUUGAUCAUACUCUUCAAGUCGCGACCCGACCUAUCCAACUUGACCAAAACAACGUCACCAAACUAAACUUAGAAGGCAUGACUUUAUUGGAGAACUUGUUUCUAAGUGAGCAGGAAAAAAGCUAAAUGAUCUACUCUCCUCCUUACAAAACUAGUUUGAAGAGUUAAUUGGAGAAAGUCGGCGUCGAAGUUGACUUACGAUUGUCAAACAUCAUAAUUUGAGUAAUGAGUCAGGCAAAAUGGCCACAUGCAAGCCUAUUCUCUGAAUACAAUGUAGUCAUUACAGUGAUAAUAGUGACUGUAAUGCUGCAGAAAUAAUUGAAUUAGUCUGCCUUGUCUCUCCUAAUACAGAGAAGCUCCCAUUCCUCUGAGCUCUGGGUCACUGGUUGGUGGAAACGCUUCACCAAGUGACCAGAGAGGAGCGCAGACUGUUUAACUGUGUGGAGUUAAUAACUGGAUGUAGCGCAGAUAAUGUCCCGGUACUGUAAAUGUGGGAUGACAUCUAUUAGAAGUGUGUGUGUGUGUGUGAAUACAUGUCUGUGUGUGUGUGUUUAAGCAAUGAGGACAUGAGUUACAAGGCUGAACCACCCACCCACGCCGCUGCUGAAGGCUGCAACAGAGGCCAAGUCAGGAGAGCCGGAGCAGCGUCGAGCGGGUGGUCGUCUGCAGCUCGCUCUAUAAAACAUCUCUGUACGUGAGGCUCAGAAAUAUACUUGGCCUUGUGCUGAAGUCCAACGAUUAUCCAACUAGUUUCUCUUCUCUCUCCUUGAGGUGAUGUGUUUUUAAUCUCUCCGCUAUAACGAGGCAACACAAGCUUUAGUUUUAUUUAUUCAUCCGUAUGUUUGAUGGAUUUAUGAACUCAAACAUUCAGUCAAAGCGUCAGUGAAAUAUGUCGGCCAGAUGUCCCUGGAAUUAAGUUGCCAUUGGACGAAUCCUCACCUCAGAGAUGAUAUCCAAUGCUAACGAUCAUUGCAGAAAGUCGAGUGCCGGCCCUUUAUGUAGCGAGGCAGAAUGCACAGGAGGAAACUGACCAAGAGGGACACUGGAAUGGGGAGAAAAGGCGUGUUAGCAUUUCGUAUCUGCAGAGACUUGCAGCUCUCUGCCUGGAUCUUCUUAUUUUCUCAAUUUGUUGCUGCUCGGGACACUUAACCAACCCAAAAUGUGGGUAUGUGAUGGCACCAGACUACAACAGCCACUAUCUUUGUGACGCGUUCAGGAACAGCUGGGACAGAUCCCACUGAUUUCACCUUUAAGUUUAAUAGCAUUUGAAUUAUAUUAGUAUGACAUGCGGUUCAGUUAGCUUUGCACAGAAAAGUCCUUCAGAGGGAAACUUUUUAGCCUGAUACUUUGAGUAUAUUUCAGAGCGUGUACUGUAUUACUUUUACAUAAGAAUGUGUGUACUUUUGAUUUGGUUAGCAUUUGCAUUUGUUUUUAAAGAAGGUGAAAGAAGAGGACACCAUCGGUAGAUCUCUCAAGUCAUCCUCAGCACUCUGCCAUCAAUUAACAAAUCCUCCUGCGGAUGGUCUUGGUCCUUGUAGUGCAUAUAUGCGACUAAUUACUUUAGUUAUCCCGCCUUACGCCUACAGCAUUACAUUGAUUAUCUGCCAUAACUAUAAACCUUCCACCUUGUUUCCACGCACAGAUAUUAUAAAAAGCGGCACUUAGAAAAACAUUGGCAGUGUAUGCUAAUAGAGGCUGGCAGUGAACAUGGUCCAAGGUUUUGCAGAACUGUGAGAGGCUAAUAAACUCUUGAAAAGAAUAAUUUCAUAUGUCAUAUGUUAUUUUUAGCCCAUAGAAUGAGGACUAGAGGAUAGGACUAGAAAUAGCAUAAAAGCAUAACUCAUUGCCUGAGACCAAGGAUCAGUAGCUGGUUGAGUAAGAUGGGAACAAAUAUGACAGCGGAAAAUAUUUAACAUUAAAGGUAACCACAGUACUUUAAUUUCCAUCUUAAAGAUGGUGAUGUUUUUAAUCUAACGGACCCAGAGGAUAACCCUAAUGAACAAUCUGAGAGAGAAGAUUGCUGAAUGUUUGGGGUGAUGAGGAGAAGCUUCUAUUACUUUCUUUUUCCUCUUUCUGUCUUUAAUACCUAAUAUUUAUAUUUAUUCUCUCACAGUCCAUUUGUUGGUUGGUCGGUUGGUUUGUUAGCCGGAUUACACAAAACUACUAAAUCCCUUUAACUGUUGGUGUUGAUCCAAAUAAAUGGAUGGAUCCAGGA